rnacentral:rRNA from 1 species
CAAUAGCGUAUAUUAAAGUUGUUGCAGUUAAAAAGCUCGUAGUUGGAUUUCUGGUGGGAGCGAUCGGUCUGGCGCUUAGCGCGAGUACUUGCAUCGUCUCCGGCCAUCCUUGGGGAGAGUCUGUCUGGCAUUAGGUUGUCGGGCAGAGGAUCCUCAUCGUUUACUGUGAAAAAAUUAGAGUGUUCAAAGCAGGCUUAUGCCGUUGAAUAUAUUAGCAUGGAAUAAUAAGAUAGGACUUUGGUACUAUUUUGUUGGUUUGCGCACCAAAGUAAUGAUUAAUAGGGACAGUUGGGGGUAUUCGUAUUCCAUUGUCAGAGGUGAAAUUCUUGGAUUUUUGGAAGACGAACUACUGCGAAAGCAUUUACCAAGGAUGUUUUCAUUAA